UACGGAGGGGGCUAGCGUUGUUCGGAAUUACUGGGCGUAAAGCGCGCGUAGGCGGCUUUGCAAGUUGGAGGUGAAAGCCCGGAGCUCAACUCCGGAACUGCCUUUAAGACUGCAUCGCUAGAAUUGUGGAGAGGUGAGUGGAAUUCCGAGUGUAGAGGUGAAAUUCGUAGAUAUUCGGAAGAACACCAGUGGCGAAGGCGACUCACUGGACACAUAUUGACGCUGAGGUGCGAAAGCGUGGGGAGCAAACAGG
rnacentral:rRNA from 1 species